rnacentral:rRNA from 1 species
GAUGAACGCUGGCGGCGUGCCUAAUACAUGCAAGUCGAGCGAACAGACGAGGAGCUUGCUCCUCUGACGUUAGCGGCGGACGGGUGAGUAACACGUGGAUAACCUACCUAUAAGACUGGGAUAACUUCGGGAAACCGGAGCUAAUACCGGAUAAUAUGUUGAACCGCAUGGUUCAAUAGUGAAUGACGGUUUUGCUGUCACUUAUAGAUGGAUCCGCGCCGCAUUAGCUAGUUGGUAAGGUAACGGCUUACCAAGGCAACGAUGCGUAGCCGACCUGAGAGGGUGAUCGGCCACACUGGAACUGAGACACGGUCCAGACUCCUACGGGAGGCAGCAGUAGGGAAUCUUCCGCAAUGGGCGAAAGCUUGACGGAGCGACGCCGCGUGAGUGAUGAAGGUCUUCGGAUCGUAAAACUCUGUUAUUAGGGAAGAACAAAUGUGUAAGUAACUAUGCACGUCUUGACGGUACCUAAUCAGAAAGCCACGGCUAACUACGUGCCAGCCGCCGCGGUAA